CCUACGGGAGGCAGCAGUGGGGAAUCUUGCGCAAUGGGCGAAAGCCUGACGCAGCAACGCCGCGUGCGGGAUGAAGGCCUUCGGGUUGUAAACCGCUUUUAACAGGAACGAAAAUGACGGUACCUGUAGAAUAAGGUGCGGCCAACUACGUGCCAGCAGCCGCGGUGACACGUAGGCACCAAGCGUUGUCCGGAUUUAUUGGGCGUAAAGAGCUCGUAGGCGGUUCAGUAAGUCGGGUGUGAAAACUCUGGGCUUAACCCAGAGACGCCACUCGAUACUAUUGUGACUAGAGUUCGGUAGGGGAGCGGGGAAUUCCUAGUGUAGCGGUGAAAUGCGCAGAUAUUAGGAGGAACACCGGUGGCGAAGGCGCCGCUCUGGGCCGAUACUGACGCUGAGGAGCGAAAGCGUGGGUAGCAAACAGGAUUAGAUACCCUGGUAGUCCACGCCGUAAACGGUGGGCACUAGGUGUGGGCUCCAACCAACGGAGUCCGCGCCGUCGCUAACGCAUUAAGUGCCCCGCCUGGGGAGUACGGCCGCAGGUUAAACUCAAAGGAAUUGACGG
rnacentral:rRNA from 1 species